rnacentral:rRNA from 1 species
AGAGUUUGAUCAUGGCUCAGAUUGUACGCUGGCGGCAGGCUUAACACAUGCAAGUCGAACGGUAACAGGAAGGAAGCUUGCUUUCUUUGCUGACGAGUGGCGGACGGGUGAGUAAUGCUUGGGAAUCUGGCUUAUGGAGGGGGAUAACUACGGGAAACUGUAGCUAAUACCGCGUAAUAUCUUCGGAUUAAAGGGUGGGACCGUAAGGCCACCUGCCAUAAGAUGAGCCCAAGUGGGAUUAGGUAGUUGGUGGGGUAAAGGCCUACCAAGCCGACGAUCUCUAGCUGGUCUGAGAGGAUGACCAGCCACACUGGAACUGAGACACGGUCCAGACUCCUACGGGAGGCAGCAGUGGGGAAUAUUGCACAAUGGGGGGAACCCUGAUGCAGCCAUGCCGCGUGAAUGAAGAAGGCCUUCGGGUUGUAAAGUUCUUUCGGUGAUGAGGAAGGCGGUUGUUUUAAUAGAACAAUCGAUUGACGUUAGUCACAGAAGAAGCACCGGCUAACUCCGUGCCAGCAGCCGCGGUAAUACGGAGGGUGCGAGCGUUAAUCGGAAUGACUGGGCGUAAAGGGCACGCAGGCGGUGACUUAAGUGAGAUGUGAAAGCCCCGGGCUUAACCUGGGAAUUGCAUUUCAUACUGGGUCGCUAGAGUAUUUUAGGGAGGGGUAGAAUUCCACGUGUAGCGGUGAAAUGCGUAGAGAUGUGGAGGAAUACCGAAGGCGAAGGCAGCCCCUUGGGAAUAUACUGACGCUCAUGUGCGAAAGCGUGGGGAGCAAACAGGAUUAGAUACCCUGGUAGUCCACGCUGUAAACGCUGUCGAUUUGGGGAUUGGGCUUUAAGCUUGGUGCCCGUAGCU